rnacentral:rRNA from 1 species
GAUGAACGCUGGCGGCGUGCCUAAUACAUGCAAGUCGAGCGAACAGACGAGGAGCUUGCUCCUCUGACGUUAGCGGCGGACGGGUGAGUAACACGUGGAUAACCUACCUAUAAGACUGGGAUAACUUCGGGAAACCGGAGCUAAUACCGGAUAAUAUAUUGAACCGCAUGGUUCAAUAGUGAAAGACGGUUUUGCUGUCACUUAUAGAUGGAUCAGCGCCGCAUUAGCUAGUUGGUAAGGUAACGGCUUACCAAGGCGACGAUGCGUAGCCGACCUGAGAGGGUGAUCGGCCACACUGGAACUGAGACACGGUCCAGACUCCUACGGGAGGCAGCAGUAGGGAAUCUUCCGCAAUGGGCGAAAGCCUGACGGAGCAACGCCGCGUGAGUGAUGAAGGUCUUCGGAUCGUAAAACUCUGUUAUUAGGGAAGAACAAAUGUGUAAGUAACUAUGCACGUCUUGACGGUACCUAAUCAGAAAGCCACGGCUAACUACGU